UGCCCAAGAGACUGGGAUAACACCUGGAAACAGAUGCUAAUACCGGAUAACAACACUAGACGCAUGUCUAGAGUUUAAAAGAUGGUUCUGCUAUUACUCUUGGAUGGACCUGCGGUGCAUUAGCUAGUUGGUAAGGUAACGGCUUACCAAGGCAAUGAUGCAUAGCCGAGUUGAGAGACUGAUCGGCCACAUUGGGACUGAGACACGGUCCAAACUCCUACGGGAGGCAGCAGGU
rnacentral:rRNA from 1 species